rfam:Salmo salar isolate Sally breed double haploid chromosome ssa19, whole genome shotgun sequence.
UUCCCUGUGGCUCAGUUGGUAGAGCAUGGUGUUUGCAACGUCAGCAUGGUGUGUGUGCAAUGCCAGGGUUGUGGGUUCGAUUCCCACGGGGGACC